rnacentral:rRNA from 1 species
GUCCACGCCGUAAACGAUGCACACUAGAUGACGGGACCUCUGACGGUGCCGCCGUCGUAGCAAAAGUGCUAAGUGUGCCGCCUGGGGAGUACGGCCGCAAGGCUAAAACUCAAAGGAAUUGACGGGGGCUCACACAAGCGGUGGAGCAUGUGGCUUAAUUCGAAGCAACGCGAAGAACCUUACCCGGGUUUGACAUGCAUGGAUGUUUUCCGGUCGAUGAGUUGGAAAUUACCCGCAAGGUGAAACAUGCACAGGUGUUGCACGGCUGUCGU